rnacentral:rRNA from 1 species
UACAGAGGUCUCGAGCGUUAGGCGGAAUCACUGGGCUUAAAGCGUGUGUAGGCGGAUCGUUAAGUGCCUUGUGAAAUCCCACGGCUCAACCGUGGAACUGCUUGGCAUACUGGCGGUCUUGAGCAACCUAGGGGCGAGCGGAACAAAUGGUGGAGCGGUGAAAUGCGUAGAUAUCGUAAGGAAGACCAGUGGCGAAGGCGGGUCUCUGGACAGUUCCUGACGCUGAGGCACGAAGGUCAGGGGAGCAAACGGG